rnacentral:rRNA from 1 species
UACGGAGGGGGCUAGCGUUAUUCGGAAUUAUUGGGCGUAAAGAGCGUGUAGGCGGUCCGGUAAGUCCGCUGUGAAAGUCGGGGGCUCAACCCUCGAAUGCCGGUGGAUACUGUCGGGCUAGAGUGCGGAAGAGGCGAGUGGAAUUCCUGGUGUAGCGGUGAAAUGCGCAGAUAUCAGGAGGAACACCUAUUGCGAAGGCAGCUCGCUGGGACGUAACUGACGCUGAGGCGCGAAAGCUAGGGGAGCAAACGGG